AAGCUGUGAUGAGUCUAUCCCGAACCUGAGUCUUUGAUGACACAAUUAUGGAUCUGACUGCUGAGCU
ensembl:snoRNA